CUGUGCACAGUGAACCUACUUCACAACUACAGGAUCUAACUCCACUUUCAGCAUUCUCAACAUUAAUUCCUCAUUCAGAGCUAUAUAUGGCAACAACUUUUUUUUUUUUUAAUUUUACUUUAAGUUCCGGGAUACACGUGAAGAAUGUGCAGGUUUGUUACAUAGGUAUACAUGUGACAUGGUUGUUUGCUGCACCUGUCACCUAGGUUUUAAGCCCCACAUGCAUUAGAUAUUUGUCCUAAUGCUCUCCCUUCCCUUGCCCCCACAACCCCCGACAGGCCCCAGUGUGUGUUGUUCCUCUCCCUGUGUCCAUAUGCUCUCAUUGUUUAACUCCCACUUAUGAGUGAGAAUAUGUGCGAUUUGGUUUUUUUGUUCUUGUGUUAGUUUGCUGAGGAUGGUGGCUUCCAGCUUCAUCCAUGACCCUGCAAAGGACAUAAGCUCAUUCUUUUUUAUGGCUGCAUAGUAUUCCAUGGUGGGUAUGUACCACAUUUUCUUUAUCCAGUCUAUCAUUGAUGGGCAUUUGGGUUGGUUCCAUAUCUUUGCUAUUUUAAAUAGUGCUGCAAUAAACAUACAUGUGCAUGUGUCUUUAUAGUAGAAUGAUUUAUAUUCCUUUGGGUAUAUAUGCAGUAAUGGGAUUGCUGGAUCAAAUCCUAUUUCUGGUUCUUGAUUCUUGAAGAAUCACCACACUCUCUUCCAUGGUGGCUGAACUAAUUUACAUUCCCAUCAGCAACGUAAAAGUGUUCCUAUUUCUCCACAGCCUUGUCAGCAUUUACUGUUUAUUGACGUUUUAAUAAUCACCAUUCUGACUGGCAUGAGAUGGUAUCUCAUUGUGGUUUUGAUUUGCAUUUCUCUAAUGAUCAGUGAUGAUGAGCUGUUUUUCAUAUGCUUGCUGGCCAUAUAAAUGUCUUCUUUUGAGAAGUGUCUGUUCAUAUCCUUUGCCCACUUUUUGAUGGGGUUGUUUGUUUUUUUCUUGUAAAUUUGUUUAAGUUCCUUGUAGAUUCUGGAUAUUAGACCUUUGUCAGAUGGGUGGACUGCAAAAAUUUUCUCCCAUUCUGUAGGUUGCCUGUUCACUCUGAUGCUAGUUUCUUUUGCUGUGUAGAAGCUCUUUAGCUUAAUUAGACCCCAUUUGUCAAGUUUGGCUUUUGUUGCAAUUGCUUUUGGUGUUUUCAUCAUGAAGUCUUUGCCCAUGUCUAUGUCCUGAAUGCAAUGGGGAAAGGAUUCCCUAUUUAAUAAAUGGUGCUGGGAAAACUGACUAGCCAUAUGCAGAAAACAGAAACUGGACCUCUUCAUUAAACCUUAUACAAAAAUUAACUCAAGAUAGAGUGAAGACUUAAAUGUAAAAUCCCAAAACAUAAAAACCCUAGACAAAACCUUUUUUUUUUUCUUUUUUUUUUCGAGACAGAAUCUCGCUCUGUAGCCCAGGCUGCAGUGCAGUGGCGCAAUCCCGGCUCACUGCAAGCUCUGCCUCUUGGGUUCAUGCCAUUCUCCUGCCUCAGCCUCCUAAGUAGGUGGGACUACAGGUGCCCACCACCAUGCCUGGCUUUUUUUAUUUUUUUUAUUUUAUUUUUUUUAAUUUUUAGUAGAGACGGGGUUUCACCGUGUUAGCCAGGAUGGUCUUGAUCUCCUGACCUCAUGAUCCACCCGCCUCGGCCUCCCAAAGUGCUGGGAUUACAGCCUUCAGUCACAGUGCCCAGUCAACAAGACCUUUUCAAGAAUGCUGGGACACUUCUCACUGAAGCAUUUUUGUAUCAAAGAAGAGAGUAGUGCCUUGGGGGCCCUCCUGAAGAUUUUGAUUACACAAGGGGUGAGAGUUUGCACCAAAUCCUUUUAAAAUAAUGCCUUCUCCUGAAACUGAAAGGUCACCUGAUUAAGCCACCAAAGCUAACCUGCCUUGCUUGCUUUUAAUUGCCUACUUCCAGUUGAUCCUAAAAUUCCACUACCCUCCUUAUAGACACCUGACUGUGAGUCACGAUAGUUACGGUUGCUCAAAAUUGUUUUUCAGGAACUAGGGGGCAGCUCUUGUCCAGUUUAAGCUGCUUGAGACCACCAACCUUUAACUAGGCCUGCUGGGGUGCUUGAAGAGUGACCUUUUAACAUCAGAGGGCCAAAAAUACCACCCUCAGGUCAUGCUUAUGCCACUAUUUCAUGCAGUUGAAUCCUGUGAUAAAUCAUGUGGCUUGAUUACACUUACACAGAAACCCCGAUUAUCUCAUCUUUCCUACCCACCAAUCACCUUUGCCCACACUUUAGACUGGCUGUUUAUCCCUUACUACCCCCAAGCCCUAUUUUUAGGGAGGUGGAUUUCAGAUUUGUUCUUGCGUCUCCUCACAUGGCAGCCUUGUGAAUAAAAUCUUUUCUCUUUUGCAAAAACUAGUGGCCACAGUGACUGGCUUUUUGCAUGCAGAAAAGAACCUUGUUGCUAACACUCCAGAAACUUUGACUCCUUUCAUAAAAGAAGCAGGCUGACAAGCUGAGGCUUCUCUAGUGUGCUCAGCUUGUCAGCCUACUUCUUUUAUGAAAGCAUUGCAUCUGGGUUUCAAUUCCACAACCACAGAAAGUCAGUGCCACCAUCAUGGGCUUCAUUUAACUCGUUGAACCCUAAAUCCAAAAGUAAUGGGCUCAUUUCAUUAAUCCAGUCCCAUCUGGCCUUCUAUUGUCAUAGUUCUUUUAGGACCUGCUACCAUAUAUACUCUGCAGACUGCUGAAUCUAUACAGAAUCUAUACAGGACUAUAAGCUUUUUGGAGUGUGGGUGAGCUCCUCCUACAAAAGGUCUAAGCUUUCCUCCUUGACUUAUGAAGGGAUCUAAAUCUCACCAUGGGCCCAUGGGCCUCAAAGCAGCAGUGGUGGUAGCUCUGGGUCUUCGGAAGCUUCCUGUAAGCAAGUGCCCAGGAAAGACAGUUGGAAUUCACUUAUGCAGAGGGCUGCUUCCCCCAAGGAGACCAAGGUUUGAAUUUCUCAGACUCUUAGGUGUCUGCUUAUAUGUUCCUAUCCCUCACCUUAGGCCCACCGGUGCUAUUUUCCCAGUGUAAACAACCCUUACAUCAGGCCCUCAGCUUGGUCUUCACCUGUGUCUGUCCUCAAACUGAGGGGGAUGAGGAACUCUUUCAAAUCUGUCAAGGGAAGUUAUUAAUUUUUCCUGUGUAUUUUCCGUCAAAUGUGCAACAGCUUUACAUCUCUCAGUUCCUUGCAUUAUAGAGGCAUCAAAAUACCAGCUGAGGCCCUGCCUUCAUAAUCACUUUGGAUUCCAGUGUGACUGAUGGCCUCAGGCACUUCAUCUCCGCAGGCCAUGGUCCCCUGCUGCUCUCCAUCCCAAGCAAGACUCUACUGCAGGACAGGAUAUCUGUGCCCUACCCGCAUACAACCAGGUGGCUGCCCUGCAUAUCUCCAAAGGGGAUGAACUCAAUCACAGAAUGCUCUAAGAGCCUUUUUCCUCACACCACUCCUGGUACCAAUGACCAACCAGUCAGGGUCCUGACAAGAUAACAAAUGGCAUGCUCAAUUUGGAUGAUUUGGGGAAAAUCAGGAAUCUAUUUAUAAAGUGGUUCUCAAGGGCCAAGGAAACCACAAAGCAUUGCCUUCCCAGGAUUGGAAGGAGCGGGACACCACACGCCAUCACCAUCCCAAGCCUAGAAGCUGGGGAGAGACAGUAGUUAUCAGCAAAGAGAGAGGAAGAAAGAGGUAGCACAGGGGUAUUUAAGAGAAUCUCUUGGUAGAAUCAGUGACUUUUGGUCAAAUAACCCAGCCUGAGGUAAUCCAUCUUGGAUGGAGAAAGAAGAAUGGAAAGCUGGACCUCAAUCUUUCUCCUUUCUGGUUAUGAUAUUUUUAGGCUGAACCUAAGCAAAAGCCAAAAGGGAAGUAUUCUGUUGAUUUGGGCAUACAGUUCAGCCUAGGGCUACAGAGCUGGGUGGGAAAAGGAGAACAGAUCUGAAGCAGCAACCAGAACUGAUCCAGCUACUUAGUAACCCCUAAGCCACCUACCUCUUUGCCAUCUUCUUUCCAAUUGUCUUUGCAUUUUUGCAUAUUCUUAUUGUGUCAAAAUGAAAUGAAGAAUACAUUGGGUUGAAAUUAUUAAUGCAGUUACUAAAGAUUGUCUUUGCAAGGGCUUAGAUACAGAUGGAAAAGAUUAAUAUGGUAACUUGCAGAAGACAUAAAGUUCAGGUGUGCCUUUUUAGUCACUCUUCUGCUUGAUUGGGUAUCUCAUGUGAAAAGCAUGCAGUUACUAAAAUUCCAGAUACAAAAGUCUAUCUUCCCGCUUCAAAAUUUAUGGUACCUGUACCUUACCUUGUUUCUGCUUGCACUGAGUCUGGCCUUUUAUCUUCUUAGAUUUCCAAUCACAUUGAUUUCAUCGGUGUUCUUGGUUUACAUGCUUCUUUGGCUUAUAACACAGAUGCACACUGAGUUCAACUUUUGUUUUUUCUUUUUUCUACCAAGGCUUUAUGUUCAUUGUUGUCUUCUGUAUUCAUAACCUCAUGCAUGCCCUUCCCACUUGCCAGAAUUCUUUUUCUCAAACUAGCUCACCUAGUUAAUUUUUGACCAUCCUUAAAUCUCAGCUCCUCUGUGACACAAUGCCUCAUUGCUUCCAACUGGGUGAAGUUAUCCCUCUAUUGCACCAGAUGAUUGUCCUUGUGUAUGCCCUGGAGAUAGGACAUGUAAACAGCAGUCUACCUUAUUUAUUGUUGCAUUACACAGUUUGCCACUGCAUAGUUUUCAGCUAGUCUUUCUGGUUGGCCCAUUAACUGUUACAAGGUCAUAGCUCCUUCUUUUAUUACAGCCUGGCAGAGUAGAUUCUUAAUAAAUGUUAUUGAUCAACUAUUGUGUUUAUUCUGCAUCAUUUACGUUUCCUCUGUAAUUUUGACCUUUCUGACUUGACCACAGGACCCAGGAACUGGAGCAGAACUGUGGGGUGUGAAACCCUGACAGAGCAAUGGCAUACAGACAGGAUUUUCUCCAGGUGGGUUUGACUGCACCAGAUGUUCACAGAGAGGACUGGGGAGAAUCCUGGGGAAGCUGUUCCCAGGUGCUGUCUGGGAGAGGGUAGGAGCCACCACUGCAAGAAUCCCACCCAGACUCAUCUCCCCAUCGCACCACGGAGAACAAAAGCCAUGGACAUGACACAGCAUUUUUAUUAGGCUUAAUGUUCCAGGCCAGGCACGGUGGCUCAUGCCUGUAAUCCCAGCACUUCAGGAAGCCGAGGUGAGUAGAUAACCUGAGGUCAGGAGGUCGAGACCAGCCUGGCCAACAAAGUGAAAUCCCAUCUCUACUAAAAAUUAGCCGGGUGUGGUGGUGUAUGCCUGUAGUCUCAGCUACUCAGGAGGCUGAGGCAGGAGAAUCGCUUGAACCCAGGAGGCAGAGGUUGCAGUGAGUUAAGAUCACACCACUGCACUCCAGCCUGGGUGACAGGGAGAGACUCUGUCUCAAAAAACAAAAACAAAAC
rnacentral:lncRNA from 10 species